rnacentral:rRNA from 1 species
ACAGAGGGUGCGAGCGUUGUUCGGAAUUAUUGGGCGUAAAGGGCGCGUAGGCGGUGCGGUAAGUCACCUGUGAAAUCUCCUGGCUCAACUGGGAGCUUGCAGGCGAAACUGCCGUGCUUGAGUCCGGGAGAGGUGAGUGGAAUUCCCAGUGUAGCGGUGAAAUGCGUAGAUAUUGGGAGGAACACCAGUGGCGAAGGCGGCUCACUGGACCGGAACUGACGCUGAGGCGCGAAAGCGUGGGGAGCAAACGGGA